rnacentral:snoRNA from 1 species
GAGCAUGUUCCCAAGAUGGUGUGGCCAUCCGAGCUCCAACUGCAUGCAAGAACAACCUGGAGAGACUGUGACAGCUCAGGUCAGCAAAGGAUCUGCGGCUGCCACUCCCCUUUCCUACACAG